ACGACCAGUCCAUUGCAGAGUCUCACGAAAUCCCUAUAUAACACAGUUUGAUAGAAUCCAUGCUUCUUCCUCCCAUUACUCGAUCUUUCUCAUUCCACUCCAGGUUCAGGAGACUAAUUUCGUCGAACUGCAGAAAUUCAAAAAUGGGUCCAGAAAAUCUGAGUCUAAUUGAUAAAAGACAUCGUGCAAGUUUUCGGCUAUGCAGCGUUUCAGGUAUUACGAAUAUGGAUAAACACCAAUGUGAUUGAGAUAGUAGAAGACACUGUUAAUUUGGACCCAAUUGUUGGAGUUGCAAUAUGAAGCACAUUCAUCAUUCUGUAUAGUGGAUUUAUGUUUUACUAAUCUAGUUCGUUUGGUGUAGAAAUUAUCAUCAUACUUUCCUUUU